UACGUAGGGGGCGAGCGUUGUCCGGAUUUACUGGGCGUAAAGCGCGCGUAGGCGGGCCUUUAAGUCGGGGGUGAAAUGCCGAGGCUUAACCUCGGAACUGCCUCCGAAACUGGAGGUCUUGAGGCACGGAGAGGGAAGUGGAAUUCCUGGUGUAGCGGUGAAAUGCGUAGAUAUCAGGAGGAACACCCGUGGCGAAGGCGGCUUCCUGGCCGUGUCCUGACGAUGAGGUGCGAAAGCUAGGGGAGCGAACGGG
rnacentral:rRNA from 1 species